AGCACAAGUAUAUUUUUUACAUGGAUUUGACAUGGGUCAACAUCAAUGAAAAUCUAUUAAGUGUCACCAACAGUGCAAGAUUGUUUGUUUAACCACCCCCAAAUCAUGUGAUUAUGUGUUUAAACCUUUUUUAAAAUUUAAUUAUUUUCUUUCAACACCCCUAAUUCAUGUGAUUAUGUUUUUAAACUUUUUAAAAUUUACUUAUUUUCU
rnacentral:lncRNA from 1 species